rnacentral:rRNA from 1 species
UACGUAGGGGGCUAGCGUUGUCCGGAUUUAUUGGGCGUAAAGAGCGUGUAGGCGGCCAGGUAGGUCCGUUGUGAAAACUCGAGGCUCAACCUCGAGACGUCGGCGGAAACCCUCUGGCUAGAGUCCGGAAGAGGAGAGUGGAAUUCCUGGUGUAGCGGUGAAAUGCGUAGAGAUGGGGGAGAACACUCGUGGCGAAGGCGGCCAGCUAGACCAGUUCUGACACUGAGGCGCGACAGCGUGGGGAGCAAACAGG